GACAAACGCUGGCGGCGUGCUUAACACAUGCAAGUCGAACGGUCUUCUUUAGGGAAGAUAGUGGCGGACGGGUGAGUAACACGUAGUUAACCUGCCUUUAGGUGGGGAAUAACUCCUCGAAAGAGGAGCUAAUACCGCAUACGCUCUCUGUUGAUAGAUAGAGAGGAAACCUUAGGAGCAAUCCUUGGGGGCCGAAAGAGGGGACUGCGGCGGAUUAGCUAGAUGGUGGGGUAAAGCCUACCANGGCGACGAUCCGUAGCUGGUCUGAGAGGACGACCAGUCACACUGGAACUGAGACACGGUCCAGACACCUACGGGUGGCAGCAGUCGAGAAUUUUCUCAAUGGGCGCAAGCCUGAAGGAGCGACGCCGCGUGGGGAUGAAGGG
rnacentral:rRNA from 1 species